UGAACGCUGGCGGCGUGCCUAAUACAUGCACGUCGAGCGAACAGACGAGGAGCUUGCUCCUCUGCCGUUAGCGGCGGACGGGUGAGUAACACGUGGAUAACCUACCUAUAAGACUGGGAUAACUUCGGGAAACCGGAGCUAAUACCGGAUAAUAUAUUGAACCGCAUGGUUCAAUAGUGAAAGACGGUUUUGCUGUCACUUAUAGAUGGAUCCGCGCCGCAUUAGCUAGUUGGUAAGGUAACGGCUUACCAAGGCAACGAUGCGUAGCCGACCUGAGAGGGUGAUCGGCCACACUGGAACUGAGACACGGUCCAGACUCCUACGGGAGGCAGCAGUAGGGAAUCUUCCGCAAUGGGCGAAAGCCUGACGGAGCAACGCCGCGUGAGUGAUGAAGGUCUUCGGAUCGUAAAACUCUGUUAUUAGGGAAGAACAAAUGUGUAAGUAACUAUGCACGUCUUGACGGUACCUAAUCAGAAAGCCACGGCUAACUACGUG
rnacentral:rRNA from 1 species